rnacentral:lncRNA from 1 species
GGAAGUGAUGGGGUAUAAGGAAGCAUUAUGAGAAGGAUGUGUUAAGGAAAGGAUGAGGUAUGAGGUCGACCAGUCCGUACAAUCCGUACUGACCGUACUGGCCGUACAGGCCGUACAUUCUCGGGUCGACCCAUCAUCAACCAAAACUUACCAUCCUUACCCAAGUUACUUUGGAGAGUUACCUUGAGUGUUAAGGAGGCUUAUGACCAUUGAAGGGAAGAAAGGAGACGCGGAGAAGACAGGCUGGCAUAGCUGUAAAGUAAUCAGCAUCUUGGAAUAUGCUGAAAGUGUGUGAAGCAAUCCAUUGGCUAGUUCAAACCAUCCGCUCCCUUUAGCUUUGACUACACAUGCUUUGCCUUAUCUCUUAUGCUGAAACCCUAGUCUUUCCUUUGCUAUAUAUUGUAAACUCUGCCUUGAUUAAUAUUAACACACGAGUUUAUGAGUCUCUCUCUCUAGUUCAUCAUGAUAAUCUCAUACACUUUCUCUUAAACACUCUAAUCUCUCUUGAAUCUCUCUUAGACUUCUCAAUACCUUUCAUAUUCUCUAAAGUCAUAUGGUAUCAGAGCCAGGUUGGCUGUGGUAUUGAGAUCGUGUGUUCUUCAGCUUCAGAUAAAAGUUCUUUCUUGUGAGAUUCUAAACCAAGUCCAAGCAAAUCAAGAUGGGAGGAAACAAGGUGAUUACGGUUCCGAUUUCACUCAAGGGUGGGGGAAACUACCUGUUGUGGUCUAGGCUUGUGAAGACAGCCAUUGGGAGGCUAGGGUUAUGGGGUCACAUCACAGAUGAAGCUCCAGCACCAGUGGCCAGUGAGGAAGAAGGUGGAAGAGAGCUCGCGGUUGCUGAUGGAAAGAAGUGGAUUCAAGAUGACUUGAUGGUGCUAUCUGUGCUGCAAGGAUCUCUUGAAGAACAUCUCUUGGAAGCCUACAGCUACUGUGAGACUCCAAAACACCUGUGGGAGGUACUCCAAAAGACUUUUGGGAACGUUACCAAUCUGAACCGUGUGUAUGAGAUCAAGAAAGCUAUCAACACACUGGUACAAGAUGGAGAGGAGUUCACCAAGCAUUUGGGCAAGUAUAGAUCCUUGUGGUCUGAGCUUGAAUCAUUGAGGCCAAGCACGGCUGAUCAAGAGCUACUCAUGGAGAGGAGGGAGCAGGAUCAGGUGUUUGGAUUGCUGUUGACUUUGGAUCCUCCGUUCAAUGAUGUGAUCAAACACAUGUUGAGGAUGCCAAGUCUUCCAUCCAUGGAGGAAGUGUGUGCGCAGCUCCAGAAGGAGGAAGGGUCUCUUGGUCUCUUCGGAAGCAAGGGAGACUUAGCUCUAGCCAACAAGGCUGAGGAAGGAGCGCAAGCUAACCGUGCAGCAUACAAGACUGAUGAGAGGAAGUAUGGUGAUGAGAGGAGGUUUGGAGGCAACUGUGAUCACUGCAAGAAGCCGGGACACAAGAGGAGCCAGUGCUGGAUCCUUCAUCCCCAUCUCAAGCCGGCCAAGUUCAACAAGGAUCGAGAAGCCAGAGCUAACCUGUCUACUGAAGCAAGUGAAGCCGGUCCAUCAGGAGCAGGCUCAAGUGCACAAGUGGGUGAAAGCGCAGGCAAGGCAAUGGCAACUCACUACACGGCCGCAAAGAGUUUGGAGCAUGAAGUGAUCCGCAAAUCUGACAUUGAUGCCCUCAUCAAAGCUCUUAAGGAGUCUGGUACAUUCGGAAACACUCUUGGUUACUCUUAUACUGCUCAUAUGAUGCCUAGGAAUGAGAAUAGGUUGAUAGAUAUCAUUGAGAAAUUAAAACUGAGAAAUGAAUCACCUAGAACUCAUCUUGCUAGAGGCAUAAAACCAUUGAUUGUUGACUCUGGUGCAUCUCAUCACAUGAUUAGUGAUGAUAGCUUGAUCAAAAACAUAGAACCUGCUCAUGGUCAUGUAAUGAUUGCAAAUGGAGAUAGAAUUCCCAUUAAAGGUGUAGGAGACUUAAAGCUAUUUGAUAAGAACUCUAAAGCAUUUUACAUGCCUGAUUUUACUUCUAAUCUCUUAUCUGUUAAAAGAUGUACCAAUGAUCUACAAUGCAAUGUUAUCUUUAGUCCUAACAAUGUGACAUUUCAGGAUAUUGAGAGCAAUAAGUUGAUCGGACAAGGAGUAACCAAGGGGGAUCUUUAUGUACUUGAAGACAUUAACCCCAUUUCUAGUUGUUUGCUGAGUUCUGUUUUAAGUAAAGGUGCAUUAUGGCAUUCUAGGCUAGGACAUCCACAUGUUAGAGCCUUAAGCUUAAUGUUUCCAGGUGUCAUGUUUAAAAAUAAUGAUUGUGAGGCUUGUAUUUUGGGAAAACAUUGUAAGACUGUCUUUAAAAGAUCUACUACUAUCUAUGAUAAGUGUUUUGAUCUUGUUCACUCUGAUGUAUGGACUGCUCCCUGCUUAUCUAGAGAUAAUUACAAGUACUUUGUCACAUUUAUAGAUGAGAAAUCUAAAUACACCUGGAUAACACUCAUUAAAACAAAGGAUAGGGUUCUUGAUGCAUUUAAAAACUUCCAAUCUUAUGUAUCUAACCAGUAUAAUGCCAAGAUUAAGAUUUUCAGGUCUGAUAAUGGUGGAGAAUAUACUGGCAAUGCAUUCAAGAGUCACCUAGCUCAACAUGGGAUUCUACAUCAGACAAGUUGUCCAUACACUCCUCAACAGAACGGUGUAGCUGAGAGAAAGAAUAGACACCUAAUGGAGGUGGCAAGGUCUAUGAUGUUUCAUACAAGUGUGCCUAAGAGAUUCUGGAGUGAUGCUGUGAUCUCGGCUUGUUAUCUAAUCAAUAGGAUACCAACCAAGAUCCUGGAAGAUCAAGCUCCUUAUGAAGUUUUAAACAGAAGCAAACCUGUGCUGGAUCACUUAAGAGUCUUUGGAUGCGUGUGCUUUGUACUUGUACCCGGGGAGCUAAGGAAUAAGCUAGAAGCAAAGAGCACAAGAGCCAUGUUCAUUGGCUACUCAACGUCACAAAAGGGAUACAAAUGCUAUGAUUCAGAAGCCAGGAGAGUUCUUGUGUCUAGAGAUGUGAAGUUCUUGGAGGAUAAGAGCUUUUAUGGAGAUAGAAAGUGGGAAGAUCUUGAAGAUUUGUCUCAACCAUCUGAUCGAGCUACAAGUCUUAGGCGUGUUCUAGAAGGGCUUGGAAUCAACAUGUCCCAGGAUCAGCAACCAUCAAAGGAGAAUGAAGCUGAAGAACCAUCGCACCAUGAUCAUGAGGGGGGAAAUGAGGCUGAGCCUGAAGAUCAUGAAGAUCAAGACUCAGAUAGUCAUGGUCAAGGUGUGAUACAAAGAGAGGAAGAAUCCAUACAAGAAGAUCAUGUGGAACCAAUUGAACCAAAUGAAGUAGAAAGAGAAGCAGUUCAGCCUACGGAGGUGCAGCCUACGGUGGUGGAGGUGGAACAAGCCCCAUUAAGGAGAAGCACACGGCUGAAGAGAGAUGCUUCCAACUGGGUAAACACGAGAGUGUACUACAAUGCUCAAGCUGUGAAGCAUCCCUCUCAGGCUGUGUGCUCAUUUGCGAGCUACCCAAAGGAACAUUGUGCAUUCAUUACAAGCUUAGAUGAGAGCAGUGUACCAAGAUCAUAUGAAGAAGCAAUGUUACAUGAAGAUUGGAAAGAAUCAGUGGGUGAUGAAGCAAAUGCUAUGAUAAAGAAUGACACUUGGUUUGAAAGUGAGUUACCAAGAGGGAAGAAGGCAGUAACAAGCAAGUGGAUAUUCACUAUCAAGUAUCUACCUGAUGGAACUAUUGAGAGGAAGAAGACAAGACUGGUGGCUAGAGGAUACACUCAAACAUAUGGGGAAGACUACAUUGAUACCUUUGCCCCUGUUGCCAAACUCCAUACCAUAAGAAUUGUACUAUCUCUUGCUGUGAAUCUUGAGUGGGAGCUUUGGCAGAUGGAUGUGAAGAAUGCCUUUCUUCAAGGAGAGCUAGAGGAUGAAGUGUAUAUGUAUCCACCACCGGGUCUAGAGCACCUUGUGAAACCUGGAAAUGUAUUGAGACUCAAGAAGGCUAUCUAUGGGUUGAAGCAAUCUCCUAGAGCAUGGUAUAACAAGCUGAGCACUACCUUAAAUGGGCGUGGGUUCAAGAAGUCUGAAUUGGAUCACACUCUCUUCACUCUCACUACACCCUCAGGUAUCAUCUGUCUACUUGUAUAUGUUGAUGACAUUAUCAUAACAGGUAGUGAUAAGGCUGGUAUAAAAGCCACAAAGGAGUUUUUGAAAUCUGUGUUUGAAAUCAAAGACUUAGGAGAAAUGAAAUACUUCCUUGGAAUUGAGUUGUGUAGAUCUAAGGAAGGAUUGUUCAUUUCCCAAAGGAAGUACACACUUGAUCUUUUGAAAGAUGCAGGUAUACAAGGAGAUAAGACAGCAAAGAUGCCUCUUGAAGAUGGAUACAAGAUUCCACGUGAGGGGGAGAUUGAAGAUAGCAAGGCCUUUCAUGAUCCAAAGCUAUACAGGAAGCUAGUAGGGAAGCUCAUCUACCUCACCAUCACACGACCAGACAUUUGCUUUGCUGUGAACCAAGUGAGCCAGCAUAUGCAAGUUCCAAAGGAUCAUCACUGGCGCAUGGUGGAGAGACUGCUCUUGUAUCUGAACGGGACAUCAAGCCUUGGAGUUUGGAUGGGAUGCAACAAGAGUACUGAAGUAGUGGGAUAUUGUGAUGCGGAUUGGGCUGGAGAUAGAGCAGACAGAAGAUCAACCACUGGCUACUGUACAUUCAUUGGAGGCAACUUGGUGACUUGGAAGAGCAAGAAGCAGAAAGUGGUGUCUUGUUCAAGUGCUGAAGCUGAGUAUAGAGCAAUGCUGAAGCUUACCAAUGAGUUGGUAUGGAUCAAAGGGAUCUUGAAGCAUUUGGAGAUAGAGCAAGCAACUCCAAUGACUAUGCAUUGUGACAAUCAAGCGGCUAUACACAUUGCAACCAACUCAGUCUUCCAUGAGAGAACCAAGCACAUUGAAGUUGAUUGUCACAAGGUGAGGCAGAUGAUUGUCUUGGGAGUGAUCUUGCCAUGCUAUACAAGGAGUGAGGAUCAGUUAGCUGAUGUCUUUACCAAAGCCGCGAGACAGAAGACCAUGGAGUCCAUUCACAUCAGGCUAGGACUCCUGGAUCUCACACCAAGUGGCUGAGUCCCCUUAGCCAUGAGUUCUUCACUCUUUUUCCCUCAUCAAGGUUUUGUCCCAAUGGGUUUUCCUUGGUGAGGUUUUUAAUGAGGAAGAUCUCAUGGCUGUUCCAAGCUUGAAAGGAUUCUAGAAUUCAAGCUUGAGGGGGAGUGUUGAAAUGAGUUGAGUAUAAGCAAGGGAAGUGAUGGGGUAUAAGGCAGCAUUAUGAGAAGGAUGUGUUAAGGAAAGGAUGAGGUAUGAGGUCGACCAGUCCGUACAAUCCGUACUGACCGUACUGGCCGUACAGGCCGUACAUUCUCGGGUCGACCCAUCAUCAACCAAAACUUACCAUCCUUACCCAAGUUACUUUGGAGAGUUACCUUGAGUGUUAAGGAGGCUUAUGACCGUUGAAGGGAAGAAAGGAGACGCGGAGAAGACAGGCUGG